GUUAUUAUAAAUUACACGGUGUUCAUCGACUUUAAUAUUCUAAUAUAAUGUUAAAAAUUACAAUUUGGUGCUUCCUCAUAGGUUAAACUGUAAUUGCUUGUAAAUAAUUGUAUAGGUUGUAUAGAUAGUAACACGAACCACUGAAAAAGUGUUUCGUUAUAAGUCGUUGAAUUACCUUUCUAGUAAAUUAUUUUCAUAUUAAUGAAAUGAUGAUGUAUUAUUCGUUUUGUAAUAUAAUAUAGUAUAUUAUAUAAUACUAUAAUACCAUUAGUACCUAUCUAAACCUUUAGUUUAUUAAAUUGUGAAUUAACAUUUUAGUAGGUCUUAAAAACAAAAAAUUGUAAUAUUAUAAUUAUUUUUUGGACCUUGUGUCAUAUAAGCUACAUAUCUACUAAAUAGCAGAUUACAGUGAAUCAUAUAAUAUUAAUGUACCUAGUUUUAUAAUUUUUGAAUAUAAUAUGUUACAUAUUAUAAUUUACGCAAUAACAUCACGUUUAAAAGUAAAAACAUUUUAGUAACUUAUAGCUAAAAUGGCUUUUACUUAUAUAACUGUAUAAGAUCAGAAUUUAGUAGAGAAAAACAGAGAAAAACAAAUUUAACUAAGAUUUACCUAAUUUUGAUUGCUAGGUCUUAAAAUAGCUUAUAAAAUACUACGAUACAUAUUAUAUUUUGUAAACUUUACUUGUUACUUUCGAAACAUGUAAUUGCUUUGAAUAUAUUAUGUAUAAUGUACUAUAUUAUUAUAUAGAUAUACUAUUUUUAACUUACCUAUCUCUUUCAUAUGGAAGUCUCGACCAAUUAAACUUUAUUUUAUUAGAAUUUAUUCUAACCACAAAUAUAACGAUCACGAUUUUAAUAAAAGGUAUUAUGACGCUGACACUGUAAUAUAGUUUAUCUAAUAUAUUAUCUAUAAUAAUAUUCAACCAUUAUACAAUUUUCGUCAACGUAUAUAAUAUGCUAAUAGAUGCAUUCAUGAUGUACCUACCUAUCCACAUCAAUGUAUUUAUAACAUUAGUGUAUUUGAAUUAUACGAGUCACGUUGACCUGACGGUGGGAGGGGAAAGAAAAUCAAGAUUUUCGUACAUUACAAAACCGGAGACCCUUAUCCACAUCCACCAUGAUUACGUUGUGUAUUUUAUCAGUUUAUUCAGUCUACAGAUGAAACACUGCACCGUUUCCCGUGGUACCAUUGGUACCUAUAUACCUAUUGUGUACGUGCGUGCGCGCGUUCUACCGCGGUCCCGAACGUGCAUAAUACCUGAUGAUAAUACAUAUAAUAAUAUAAUACCGAACAAACGGCCGCCGAUGCUUCAUCGUCGUCUGCGAAGGGGUAAAAUGCAUCGUCGAGUGCUCUGGCUCGCCACCGCGGUCGGACUGAUGAUGCUAUACGCAAGCAACAGGUGUCGGGACGCGAGUCGGGUCUAAGGAAACCCGAGAGGAACGACCACCUGUCGUCGGAGAUCGCAGACGAUAGGCCGCAUUACGCCUAUUCGUCCGUCGGCGUUUUAACACAGCAUUUUACGGAGGAUUGGUGGCUGCAGACCGGGUAGCUGGUUUUUCUCUUUGGUUAUCUAGCUGUAUGAGUGUUACGAAUGAAGCUCCUCAUAGGUCUAGGUGACCGAAGUUAAAAAUCGCACCCACUACUACUCAACCGAACUCUACGACGAUACGCCACCACUAUACCUACGCUGCACGGCAGACCGACGGCCAUCCGCGGAUUUUCGUGUACAAAACAUUGUCUUAUAUUAUAUUUACUUACCCAUACUUGAUUGUAAGUAUGUAUAUAGCUAUAUAUGUAUAUAUAACCCAUAUAGGCAGAUACUGCUAAAGCAGCAGCUAGCCGCGUGUGUAAUAUUAUAUAUCAUAUAUUUGAUGUACAAUGAGGGAAAAAAGUCGACGACGGCGUUCGAUAGAUCAAGAGAUUAAUGGGAUUAAUGGUUCUCCUCCGCUCCGCCAUGUCUUCGUGCUGCUGCUGCUCCUCCACCGUCGCUGACUGCAAGGCUGCGAGGUUGCCAGACACACAUAUAUAUAAUACACAGCGAUACAUAUUAUUAUUAUUAUUAUCAUUGUGUACCCCUCACUCUCCACCCACCCACCCACAUUGUAAGUGUGUGUGCGUGUGUCAUGCACCUCUUUUUUUCUUUCAGAACCGGAUUCUGUGUCAUCUUGUUCUGGACAGUUAUGGCCGCCGACGCCACGCCGGGCAUUGUUAACCUUGGGCUGGAUGUGCAUAACGAAAAUUAUUACCGCGGUGGUGGCACAGGCAAACGAACGUACAUUAUAUGUUAUUAUAAAUUAUAAUAAAAUAUAUAUAUAUAUAUAUAUAUAUAUAUAUAUACAUUACAUUAAUACUUUUAAUAUAUAUAUAUAUAUAUGUAUAAUAAACUGAUAUUGUAAAACGGAAGACCGUACAAAUAAAUAUUAAUAUAAUAUAUAUUUUAACCACAAAACCGUUGUGCCUACACACUAUAACAGUAUAUAUAAUAAUAUAAUAUAUAUAUAUACACACAGGUAACACCAAUAUUUACCAAAAGCACGUACCAUUGUGUACUGUUAUUGGAUGUUAAAACCAAAAAUAGACCGUAGUAUAUAUGUAUAUUCUACUUCAAAGAAAAAUACAGUUUUAUCAGAUUUUAACUGUCUUGGUCAUUCUACCAACGGACAACUAUUAAUUAAAUUCGAUGUUAACGCCAAAUCAAACAGCAUACACUAUACGUACUAUGUGUAUGACUCGAAUACACAAAAUAUUUGAAAAAAAAACCUAACCGAUUAGAGCCUUUGAAGUUAUAUAUUCUAAAAUCAUUGGCGUUUAAAUCAGAAUUUUAAAAAGUUCUGUAUUAUAUAAUAUAUUAUAUAAAAUUAUUGACAUUGUUUACAAAAAUCGUUUAUUUUUAUUUUAUACCCGAAAUAAUUAUGUUAAUAAUAAUGUUAUCUAUAAAAACAUACGAUUUUUGUAAUUUUACAUUAAUUGCUUUUUAAUAGGACACCUAUGAAUUCAGAAUUUAUACCAACCAAUAAACUUUGUAUAAUAUAAUAGUAGUAGUAAUCUAUUAAUACGAAUUAUUACUAUCAUAUAGUGUAAUUUUUUUUUACAUUUUUUUUUUUAAUUUAAAAUAGACAUUAAUCUGUUAAUUAAAACAUCAAGUAAAUUUGUACGUGAUAGAAUAAGGUAAAGGGAAGGUUCACACGGUUGUCUUGUGGAGGAAGCAGUUCACUGACGGCACGUCAGUUGUUUCUAAUAAGAGGUUUAUUAUCUACUUUGAAUUCUUUAUGGACUACUAAAUAAAAACAUAUUAUUUUAUACAUGUAUACUGUAUAGUAGUUGUUGUAAUGCAAUAUUAUACCAGUACAUUUCAUAUUUACUUAUGUAUACCUAAACACAAAAGCUGAAAUAUUAAAUUUAUACAAUCGUAAAAAUUAUUUUUUUACUAUUUAAGUUCAAAAUAUUAUUUAUAUGAUGAAAUAAAAAUAAAACUUACACAUUA